UCUAUCUAUCUAUCUAUCAAAUCUAUCAUCUAUAUCUAUAUCUAUACAGAUAGAUAGAUAGAUAGAUAGAUAGA